UCCGGUAUAGUGUAGGGGUUAACAUAACCCGCUUUCAAGAAUCUUUGGAGCCGGGUAGCCCCGGGUUCGAUUCCCGGUACCGGAA
rfam:Pseudogymnoascus sp. WSF 3629 unplaced genomic scaffold scaffold_45, whole genome shotgun sequence.